ensembl:lncRNA novel transcript
ACACACUAAAACUCCCACAGAAAGGGGGAAAAUUAGAAAAGGGGUGAUAUAAUUUGACUCUGUGUCACCACCCAAAUCUCAUCUUGAAUUGUAAUCCCCGUAAUUUCUCACCUGGCAAGAGUGGGACCAGGUGGAGACAAUUGGAUCAUGGGGGCAGUUUUCCCCAUGCUCUUCUCGUGAUAAUGAUUGAGUCUCAUGGGAUCUGAUGAUUCUAUAAGUGUCUGGCUUUUCUCCUACUUGCACUCACUCCAUCCUGCCACCCUGCGAGGAAGGUGCCUGCUUCUUCUUUGCCUUCCGCCGUGAGUGUGAGUCUCCUGAGGCCUCCCCAGCAAUGUGGAACUGGAUACGUCAUGGAACAGAGGGCAACCUGCCUCCUGGAAAUGUGGAGUGUCUAGGGAGUCACAGCUGAGAUCUUCCUUGGAUUAAAGGCUGCGGGUGUCACAAACAGGUAGGAA